GUCUCUGUAGUAUACUACAAUACCCUGGUCUUGUAAACCAGAAAAGGGAAAUACUAUCUCCCCAGAGACUC
rnacentral:tRNA from 1 species